ACUACGGGUGGCUGCAGUGAGGAAUAUUGGUCAAUGGGCGGGAGCCUGAACCAGCCAAGUCGCGUGAGGGAAGACGGUCCUAUGGAUUGUACACCUCUUUAGGCGGGGAGCAAUGCCGGGCACGUGUGCCCGGAGGGAGAGUACCCGCAGAAUAAGCAUCGGCUAACUCCGUGCCAGCAGCCGCGGUACUACGGAGGAUGCGAGCGUUAUCCGUAUUUAUUUGGUUUAAAUGGUGCGUAGGCGGAUUUUUAAGUCAGCGGUAAAUGGCCGGGCUCAACCCGGGCCGGCCGUUGAAACUGGGGAUCUUGAGUGGGCGAGAAGUAUGCUGAAUGCGUGGUGGAGCGGUGAAAUGCAUAGAUAUCACGCAGAACUCCGAUUGCGAAGGCAGCAUACCGGCGCCCGACUGACGCUGAGGCACGAAAGCGUGGGGAUCGAACAGGAUUAGAUACCCCAGUAGUC
rnacentral:rRNA from 1 species